GAAGAAGGCACGAGAAGGUGAAGCUGA
rnacentral:piRNA from 1 species